rnacentral:sRNA from 1 species
AUUUUGCGUUAGGGAUAGUAGUGAAAAUCCUUUUUUUGGGUUUUUUCUUGGUCAGUUCGCUAUCAUUCGUGUCUCCCAAAAAAAGAUUGUAACGAAUAGCCCGACCCUUG